GCUCUGUCUGGCACCACGGGGAAACGGGACAAUCGGGUGGCCUACGUGAAUCCAACAGCAAUGGCCAGAUCAAGAGGUCCAGUCCAGUCUUCAGGGCCGACCAUGCAGGAUUAUCUGAAUCGACCCAGGCCUACCUGGGGAGAAGUGAAAGAACAACUAGAAGAGAAAAAGAAAGGCUCUGAGGCUCUGGCUGAAUUUGAAGAAAAAAUGAAUGAGAAUUGGAAGAAAGAACUAGAAAAGCACAGAGAGAACUUAUUAAGUGGAAAUGAGAGCUCAUCCAAAAAAAGAAAAGAACUCUGGUAGGUAUUCAUCUUCUUCUUCUUCAGGCUCUGAUUCUUCCACCAGUUCUUCAGGUUCUGAGGAUGGGAGAAAGAAGCAAGCAAAAAGGAGAAGGUAAAAGAAGAACUGUUCAUAUAAAUCUUCUGCAAGUUGCCAGUCAGAAACUGAGUCAGACAGUGAGGACAGUUGAAAAAAGAAAAAGAAGUCAAAGGAUGUAAGCGAGAAAGAAAAGGACGUUAAAGGACUGACCAAAGAAAGAAAGAUGUAUCCUGCAGGUGAGCCUUCUUCAUCUGGGUCCUUGUCAGAAUCAGAUCAUACUGAAGAGGUGCGAGCAAUAAAGAAGAAAAGCAGUGGAGAACGAGAAAAAGCAGCAGAAAAAAGAAAAAGCGUAAGAAGCAGAGUAAGAAGAAGAAAAAGAAGGCUGCUAGUUCACGUCCUGAGUCACCAUAA